UGCCAGCCGCCGCGGUAAUACGUAGGGGGCAAACGUUGUCCGGAUUUACUGGGUGUAAAGGGCGCGCAGGCGGACUUGUAAGUCAGAGGUGAAAUCCUACAGCUUAACUGUAGAACUGCCUUUGAUACUGCGAGUCUUGAAUUUGGAAGAGAGAGAUGGAAUUCCAGGUGUAGUAGUGAAAUACGUAGAUAUCUGGAAGAACACCAGAGGCGAAGGCGGUCUCUUGGUCCAUAAUUGACGCUGAGGCGCGAAAGCGUGGGGAGCGAACAGGAUUAGAUA
rnacentral:rRNA from 1 species